rnacentral:rRNA from 1 species
CGCCUGGGGAGUACGGGUGAGGUAACGGCUCACCAAGGCAUCGACGGGUAGCUGGUCUGAGAGGACGAUCAGCCACACUGGGACUGAGACACGGCCCAGACUCCUACGGGAGGCAGCAGUAGGGAAUCUUGCGCAAUGGGCGAAAGCCUGAUGCAGCAACGCCGCGUGCGGGAAGAAGGCCCUAGGGUUGUAAACCGCUUUCAGCAGGGAAGAAAAUGACGGUACCUGCAGAAGAAGGUGCGGCCAACUACGUGCCAGCAGCCGCGGUGACACGUAGGCACCAAGCGUUGUCCGGAUUUAUUGGGCGUAAAGAGCUCGUAGGCGGUUCAGUAAGUCGGGUGUGAAAACUCUGGGCUCAACCCAGAGACGCCACUCGAUACUGCUGUGACUCGAGUGCGGUAGGGGAGCGGGGAAUUCCUAGUGUAGCGGUGAAAUGCGCAGAUAUUAGGAGGAACACCAGUGGCGAAGGCGCCGCUCUGGGCCGUAACUGACGCUGAGGAGCGAAAGCGUGGGUAGCAAACAGGAUUAGAUACCCUGGUAGUCCAUGCCGUAAACGUUGGGUACUAGGUGUGGGUCUCAACCAACGAGAUCCGCGCCGUCGCUAACGCAUUAAGUGCCCCGCCUGGGGAGUACGG